UACGUAGGGUGCGAGCGUUAAUCGGAAUUACUGGGCGUAAAGCGUGCGCAGGCGGUUUGUUAAGUCUGAUGUGAAAGCCCCGGGCUCAACCUGGGAACUGCAUUGGAAACUGGCAGGCUCGAGUAUGGCAGAGGGGGGUGGAAUUCCGCGUGUAGCAGUGAAAUGCGUAGAGAUGCGGAGGAACACCGAUGGCGAAGGCAGCCCCCUGGGCCAAUACUGACGCUCAGGCACGAAAGCGUGGGGAGCAAACAGG
rnacentral:rRNA from 1 species